rnacentral:rRNA from 1 species
UACGGGGGGAGCAAGCGUUGUUCGGAUUUACUGGGCGUAAAGGGCGCGUAGGCGGCCACCGCAAGUCGACUGUGAAAUCUCCGGGCUUAACCCGGAAAGGUCAGCCGAUACUGCGGGGCUAGAGUGCAGAAGGGGCAACUGGAAUUCUCGGUGUAGCGGUGAAAUGCGUAGAUAUCGAGAGGAACACCUGCGGUGUAGACGGCUUACUGGACCAUAACUGACGCUGAGGCACGAAAGCGUGGGUAGCAAACAGG